AUCACACCUGACAUGGAUAUAUACAACGGGGGGAGCAGUAUCACCCAACGGACAGCUUCACCAUGGCCAGACUCGGAGUGUUCCUGCUGACUGCUAUGGCGUUCUGUACAUGCUUGCCAGUACAAGGCCUGAAAUGUCCCCCCGAGCUUUGUGAGACAUGGCCCUUCCUGUUACUGGUUCUCAACAACCACCGGAACAUACGACUCUGCCCGAUCCAAGUGCAAACAGUUGGGAGGAGACCUUGCCAAGAUUACAACUAAAGAGGAACACGAUUUCAUCAGGAGCACUGCGACAAGUACUUACUACUUCGUGGGGGCCACUGACCUCCGUCUAGGGGGAAAAUGGGCUUGGGAGGGUGAGGCAACAGAGAUCGCCUACAGUGACUGGGCGCCAGGACAGCCAAGCACUGCCUCGGAACACUGCAUGGACUUGAUAAAACGCUACAACUACAAGAUGAACGAUGCACCAUGUGGUGCCAAACUUAAUUUCAUUUGUUAACAGCGUGUCAAGUGUUAAUACCUGGAACAUCUAAUAAUGGAAUCCAAGAAGGGAUACAUUGUCGCUACUGCGCAUUUUAGAUGGGGCAACGGUGCAAUCAAUAUCUAACCGUUGUAAUAUACUCAUGGAAACGAAUAAGGGAACACAUGAAAGUACAAGUAUUCCCUUAUUCUUUUCAAGAACUUCACCCACAUUGCAAUGCAAAGCUUGUGGAGAAAGGAAUAGAGGAACACUUGUAGUUUCAUGUGUUCCUUUAUUUGUUUCCAUGAGUAUAUUACAACGGUUAGAUAUUGCAUCGUCGCCUUUGGGUAAAACAUCAAAAAUGUUAUAUAGAGCACCAGCAGGCGACACCAUGUCGUGUAUUUGUUCUUUUCUAUAACAUUUCCUUGUUUUUGUGUCCCCUCUAGGAUUCCGUAGGUUUGCAUGUCCUGAACAAUAAAAUGAAGUCCUAA